rnacentral:rRNA from 1 species
UACAGAGGUCUCAAGCGUUGUUCGGAUUCAUUGGGCGUAAAGAGCGUGUAGGCGGCCAGAUAGGUCUGCUGUGAAAACUCGAGGCUCAACCUCGAGAUGUCGGCGGAAACCAUUUGGCUAGAGUCCGGAAGAGGAAAGUGGAAUUCCUGUGUAGCGGUGAAAUGCGCAGAUAUCAGGAAGAACACCCGUGGCGAAGGCGGCUUUCUGGGACGGUACUGACGCUGAGACGCGAAAGCGUGGGGAGCGAACAGG